UACGUAGGGGGCUAGCGUUGUCCGGAAUCAUUGGGCGUAAAGAGCGUGUAGGCGGCUUUACAGGUCCGUUGUGAAAACUCGAGGCUCAACCUCGAGACGCCGGUGGAAACCGUAAGGCUAGAGUCCGGAAGAGGAGGAGUGGAAUUCCGUGGUGUAGCGGUGAAAUGCGCAGAUAUCAGGAGGAACACCCGUGGCGAAAGCGGCUCUCUGGGACGGUACUGACGCUGAGGAGCGAAAGCGUGGGGAGCAAACAGG
rnacentral:rRNA from 1 species